rnacentral:rRNA from 1 species
GACGAACGCUGGCGGCGUGCUUAACACAUGCCAGUCGAACGGAAAGGCCCUGCUUUUGUGGGGUGCUCGAGUGGCGAACGGGUGAGUAACACGUGAGUAACCUGCCCUUGACUUUGGGAUAACUUCAGGAAACUGGGGCUAAUACCGGAUAGGAGCUCCUGCUGCAUGGUGGGGGUUGGAAAGUUUCGGCGGUUGGGGAUGGACUCGCGGCUUAUCAGCUUGUUGGUGGGGUAGUGGCUUACCAAGGCUUUGACGGGUAGCCGGCCUGAGAGGGUGACCGGCCACAUUGGGACUGAGAUACGGCCCAGACUCCUACGGGAGGCAGCAGUGGAGAAUAUUGCACAAUGGGCGGAAGCCUGAUGCAGCAACGCCGCGUGCGGGAUGACGGCCUUCGGGUUGUAAACCGCUUUCGCCUGUGACGAAGCGUGAGUGACGGUAAUGGGUAAAGAAGCACCGGCUAACUACGU